rnacentral:rRNA from 1 species
GCCAAGCAGCCGCGGUAAUUCCAGCUCCAAUAGCGUAUAUUAAAGUUGUUGUGGUUAAAAAGCUCGUAGUUGGAUCUCAACAGCCUUGAAGCGGUUAACUUUGUAGUUUUACUGCUUUAUAGGCUGUGCUUUUGCUGGAGGUUUAGGGGUGCUCUUGAUCGAGUGUCUCUGGAUGCCAGCAGGUUUACUUUGAAAAAAUUAGAGUGCUCAAAGCAGGCUAAAAUGCCUGAAUAUUCGUGCAUGGAAUAAUAGAAUAGGAUGUCGAUCCUAUUUUGUUGGUUUUCGGGACUCGACAUAAUGAUAAAUAGGGACAGUCGGGGGCAUUUGUAUUCAAACGACAGAGGUGAAAUUCUUGGACCGUUUGAAGACAAACUACUGCGAAAGCAUUUGCCAAGAAUGUUUUCAUUAAUCAAGAACGAAAGUUAGAGGUUCGAAGGCGAUUAGAUACCGCCCUAGUUCUAACCAUAAACGAUGCCAGCUAGCGAUCUGCCUGCGUUUUUACUGUAGACUGGGCAGGAAGCUUCCGGGAAACCAAAGCAUUUGGGUUCCAGGGGAAGUAUGGUUGCAAAGCUGAAACUUAAAGGAAUUGACGGAAGGGCACCACCAGGAGUGGAGCCUGUGGCUUAAUUUGACUCAACACGGGAAAUCUCACCAGGCCCGGACACUGGAAGGAUUGACAGAUUGAUAGCUCUUUCUUGAUUCGGUGGGUGGUGGUGCAUGGCCGUUCUUAGUUGGUGGAGUGAUUUGUCUGGUUAAUUCCGAUAACGAACGAGACUCUGUCCUGCUAAAUAGUUUCUACUUCUCUUUUGAGUAGAAAUUUCUUCUUAGAGGGACUGGUGACUCUUAGUCACACGAGAUUGAGCAAUAACAGGUCUG